rnacentral:rRNA from 1 species
GAUGAACGCUAGCGGCAGGCUUAACACAUGCAAGUCGAGGGGCAGCAGGGAGUAGCAAUACUCUGCUGGCGACCGGCGCACGGGUGCGUAACGCGUAUGCAACCUACCCUGUACAGGGGGAUAACGGAGAGAAAUUUCCACUAAUAUCCCAUGGAGUCACUGGAUCGCAUGGUCAGGUGACUAAAGCUUCGGUGGUACGGGAUGGGCAUGCGUGACAUUAGCUAGUUGGUAAGGCAACGGCUUACCAAGGCGACGAUGUCUAGGGGAGCUGAGAGGCUAAACCCCCACACUGGUACUGAGACACGGACCAGACUCC